UUCCAGACUCCUACGGGAGGCAGCAGUGGGGAAUAUUGCACAAUGGGGGAAACCCUGAUGCAGCGACGCCGCGUGAGCGAUGAAGUAUUUCGGUAUGUAAAGCUCUAUCAGCAGGGAAGAAAAUGACGGUACCUGACUAAGAAGCCCCGGCUAACUACGUGCCAGCAGCCGCGGUAAUACGUAGGGGGCAAGCGUUAUCCGGAUUUACUGGGUGUAAAGGGAGCGUAGACGGCUGUGCAAGCCAGAUGUGAAAGCCCGGGGCUCAACCCCGGGACUGCAUUUGGAACUGUGUGGCUGGAGUGUCGGAGAGGCAGGCGGAAUUCCUAGUGUAGUGGUGAAAUGCGUAGAUAUUAGGAGGAACACCAGUGGCGAAGGCGGCCUGCUGGACGAUGACUGACGUUGAGGCUCGAAAGCGUGGGGAGCAAACAGGAUUAGAUACCCCGGUA
rnacentral:rRNA from 1 species